rnacentral:lncRNA from 1 species
UUUUGAAAAUGUCUCAUUAGUGAUGGUAAAAAUGAAAAGUGGUACCAUGAAAGUGGUAAACAUGUAGUUUCCUCUAUUUUUAAAUAAUUAUCUUAAAAACUGCUAUUUUUGGAAAGUUUUCAUUUUUAGAGAAAUAUUAUAGAUUUGGGUUUGUGAUUUACAAAUUAGGAUAACAAGAAUAUUUGUGGAUAGAUGAUUCUUUCGAAUUUUUUCAGCAAUAGGUUGUAUUUUUAAAUAAUUAUCUUAAAAACUGCAAUUUUUGGAAAAUUUUCAUUUUUAGAGAAAUAUUGUAGAUUUGAGUUUGUGGUUUAAAAUUUAAGA